AUACGGAGGGUGCGAGCGUUAAUCGGAAUUACUGGGCGUAAAGGGUGCGUAGGCGGCUUGAUAAGUCGGAUGUGAAAGCCCCGGGCUUAACCUGGGAAUUGCAUUCGAUACUGUCAGGCUAGAGUAUGUCAGAGGUUGGCGGAAUUCCUGGUGUAGCGGUGAAAUGCGUAGAUAUCAGGAGGAACACCAGUGGCGAAGGCGGCUAACUGGGACAAUACUGACGCUGAGGCACGAAAGCGUGGGGAGCAAACAGAAUUAGAUACCCUAGUAGUCC
rnacentral:rRNA from 1 species